rnacentral:rRNA from 1 species
GACGAACGCUGGCGGCGUGCUUAACACAUGCAAGUCGAACGGAAAGGCCCUGCUUUUGUGGGGUGCUCGAGUGGCGAACGGGUGAGUAACACGUGAGUAACCUGCCCUUGACUUUGGGAUAACUUCAGGAAACUGGGGCUAAUACCGGAUAGGAGCUCCUGCUGCAUGGUGGGGGUUGGAAAGUUUCGGCGGUUGGGGAUGGACUCGCGGCUUAUCAGCUUGUUGGUGGGGUAGUGGCUUACCAAGGCUUUGACGGGUAGCCGGCCUGAGAGGGGGACCGGCCACAUUGGGACUGAGAUACGGCGCAGUCUCGUACGGGAGGCAGCAGUGGAGAAUAUUGCACAAUGGGCGGAAGCCUGAUGCAGCAGCGCCGCGUGCGGGAUGACGGCCUUCGGGUUGUGAACCGCUUUCGCCUGUGACGAAGCGUGAGUGACGGUAAUGGGUAAAGAAGCACCGGCUAACUACGUG